UACAGAGGUCUCAAGCGUUGUUCGGAUUCAUUGGGCGUAAAGGGUGCGUAGGCGGCGCGGUAAGUCGGGUGUGAAAUUUCGAGGCUUAACUUCGAAACUGCAUUCGAUACUGCCGUGCUUGAGGACUGGAGAGGAGACUGGAAUUUACGGUGUAGCGGUGAAAUGCGUAGAUAUCUGGAGGAACACCGGUGGCGAAGGCGGCAUCCUGGACCAACACUGACGCUGAGUGAGCGAAAGCCAGGGGAGCAAACGGG
rnacentral:rRNA from 1 species